CCCUUUGCACUGAGAAACUAUCGAUGGUUAACUGAGAGCCUUUGAUUAAGAAAGUUAAAAGAAAGGUCAAUAGUUGGACAUCAAAAUCUCUUUCGUUUGUGGGAAGGCUACUUCUUAUUAACACGACAAUAGCAAGCAUUUCUAACUUCUGGUGUGCUACUUUUACCAUUCCUAAGAAGGUCAUCAAAUUAUAAACUCAAUAUGCGGUGCUUACCUUUGGAAAGGCACGACGGAAAAACAUUACUCUGUUAGAGUUUCUUGGAACACGGUCACCUUGUACAAAAAAGAGAGGGAGGAUUAGGGAUCAUGGAUUUGAAUAUAUGGAAUACAACUUGUCUCAUAAAACUUAUUUGGUUGUUCGUCUUCAGUGGUGGGACCAAAAACGGACGCGAUGAAGUUAACAUCCAAAUAUCCGUAAAAUUCAGCAUAAACGUUUUUACGAAAAGUGUUCUUCGUAAAGAUUACUUUUACGAAGAAUCUUGUGGUGAAAUAUUACACCAAUCUCGGCUCAUUCAUCGAAAUUAAACACUCGUAGCCCAAGAACACGUUCAUGGAACAUCGGAAAAGGAUACGAACAAGGUCGUCACAUAGCGACCGACCCGCGAACGAGUCAGCCGCUACGUAGCGACCGACCAAGCCACUCGGUCGGUCGCUACGUAGCGAACGACCAAGCCUUUCAUUCGGUCGCUACGAUCCAUCGCGGACCCGAUCACUAUGUAGCGACCGAACUG
rnacentral:lncRNA from 1 species